AAAACAGCAUGUUAAAAAGGGGAAAAUAUUAACACAAGAUAAAAAAGAAUAGAAAAAGUGCUUAAUGUUGCAAACACAUACUCAGCAGUGGAAAAACUCUAAUUAAAGUCACCAAAUAAUCAGGACGAGUAACCCGCCAUGACUUUGUACAAGGUCCGAUCUGUGUUCUGAUAGUGUAUUCCAUACACCGAGCCUGGCUUUGGAGAAACUCGCUAAAUUAACAUUGACAUUGACCUUUCCGUUGGUAAGAUGGAACUGGGCCAUGUGGUAUGCUCAUUCGUAUAUUAAUGUCCAAUCAAUUUCCUAUUUGUUUUUAAAUUUUUUAUUUUAAUUUAAACUUAUUUAAUUUUUGUGGUAGUGGGGAUGGGACAGAGAAGCUAGCACUUUAGGUCCCCAGCCCAAUUUUCAACUCUUGAUUCAAAACACUUGCUCUUCCUUCCAGUGAGAAAGUCUGAGCAGUGAACCUGCUGAUCUCUUCUUGCUUCCCCUCUGCUACUGAAUUCAUGAGGAGAGUUUCUGUCUUCCUCCUGCCCUCUGAUUCAUCAGAUUGGUUUACUGGGUUUUCUUCCCCAUCCUUCCCUAUAAUUUUUAUUUUUAUUUUUUUUCAGGCUAACCCUGGUACUUUUGAAUUCUUGACCUUAUUUUCUUUUGUUUUUCCAAAGGGUCUACUGCAUCAAUUAUUCUCACUUUUUCUUAAAUCUUCCAUUACUUUCCCUCCACGGGCUCCUUCCCCUCCUGGCUACAAAUACACCUAGAAUGCCUUUAUCUUAGGAGAAAAAUCUAUCCUACAAAAACUUCUGUGUCUCCCUCAACUGUUAUCAUUUCAAAACUCCUUCUAGCAAACACAUGGCUCAUCACUACGGUUUGAUUCAGCUUCGCUGCCCCCACCCCACCCUUUUUUGUGGAAAUUGCUCUGGGAAAGGUCAAGGGUGAUCAGCUCCUAAUUACCUGGCUUAUCCUUUAUCUGGCUUUUCCUUUAUCUUCCAUUUAAGAUUCCCUGGGAACCAUCCUCAGGCCAACUCUCUUUACAGGUUACAGGUUCUCUAAACAGUUUCACCCAAGCCUGAACUUCUAGCUAGAAUUUUUCUGUGUCUUCGGGUCUUCUGAAUUCCAGCUAUCCCAAACUGAACUCACUCUCCACAGAAGCUGGCUUGGGUCUUGGCAUGCAAGAGCCUCGCAGGCAGCAGAGGACAGCUCCAGGAGGUGGAGUUUCCAGACGAGAGAUGCGCGUUUCCCCUUUCCUCUAGAGAAUUCAAAAAUCGGACAGAGAUGAACUGGCACUUCCCAUCCAAAUUAUCUUCAAGCCACCACCAAUUCUGUAAUUAGAGAAGACAAAAGAAUGAAUUCCAACCCUGGGAUACAUAGAUGGGUUGGCCAGUUUUGCAAGAGGACCAGAAGGCCACGGACAGCCCAGCUUCUGGGCUAGUACAGAAUCACGAGUUACUUUAGUCCAGGUUCAUCAUCCCUUCUGGUAGAGACUGAAAAUUCAGACUUCACCCAAGAUUUUGGGAGGCAGAGACGGGGUGUGACCAGCCUCAUCAGAGAAGACCCCAAAGAGCAGACUCAUGGAUAGUUGUCUGGAGGGUCAGAGCCCUGGGGGUCCACUAAGCUCUUGGGAAAUUCAGAUAUUCCCAUCAGGCAAGUUAAGUCUUUAGCUAUUAUCUUUUUAGAUUAAAAAUUCACCUUGGUAGUGUGUUGAGAGCCACAGCCGAAGGGGCCUCAGCAAACUUCCAGCUGCCAGCAAACUUCCAGCUGCCAGCAAACUUCCAGCUGCCGGCUGAUGAUUGGCUCACAGCGGCCCCAGCAACAUCUAGCUGAUUGGCUCCUCUGUGGUGAUGCUCAGUUGAUAAACUUGGAAAAUUUUUUAUUAAUCUUUUGGGGAAGGGACUGGAAUGAUACAUAAGAAAACGAAUCUGGGUCAGUAAAGAGGGGAAAAAAAUAGAAGACAUUCAGGGACACAAAGACAAACUGUAUUGCACGGUUUUCCUAAGGUCACCACACCAAAUAUUCUGACCCCUCUUGUUUUGGUGGCCUAAGUAGCAAAGAGAGCAUCAGAGGAUAUAAGGUUUAUUGUUCACCUCAAGAGCAACAUUUUAUUUGAUUGGAUAAGACUAAUGCUUAACAUAAUUGAACAACUAAAAUCUUCACAUUCCCUUUGGCUUUGUGUACUAUCAGGUCCAAUAAUGUUUAAACGUAUAAAUAGCUAGUAUUCACAUUUGUCUUUCUCGUGGUUUUGUAUCAAAACCAGGGUCCACCUCCGGGUGGUCCACCUGGCCUGAGGUGGGUGUUGGAGUCCUUCUGAGGUGCAGGCUUUCCUGUCUCAAUGGGAAGGCAAUUCAAACUAGGAUAAAAUAUAGAAUGAUUGGAAACACGAUUCCUUUCUGUCUUUGAUAUUUUAUCCACAUCCAAAUUCGAAGAUUUAAGGACAUCCAUGGAAAACAGAUGUCUGACACAGGACAUUCAUAUUGUCCUGCGGGUGCUCAGCAGAGACUAGAGGGAGACACUUCCUUAUGGGAUACAGGCUCGUUCAAUUCUCCUGUGAUGUUUCUGUCCGGAUGCUUUCAGAUCCUUUGAACUCAAUGCUUUUAUCUUACAUUGACUCAGUCAAUGCAGAUGAGAAAGUCCCUUGAGGCAGUAAUGUCACCACAAAACUCUGUCCUCAGCUCUUACUGUUCUAAUUGGAUCUGUAAGGCCUUGGAAUUGACACAGCCCAAUCAAUAAUGACUACUUUUAAGCGAGGAACCCUUCUUGGAGACACUGCAGCAGUAUUUCAGAUUUACAGAUAUUUUCACAUUCAAUUAAGAAGAUGGAGACCAUUCAACCAUUGCUGGUCAGAGACCUAGAAUUCCUGUAACAAACUUUGGUCCAACUCCAUUUGGCUGCAGUAUUACUUUAUAAGAGGAAAUUUGGGCCUUGUCCCCUGUCUUGAUGCCCAAUGUUUGAAAUAUGCAAGGAACUGUGUGGUACAGAACAGGGUGUCCUUCCUGUGGGCUGGGAAGACGCUCUCCCUGCCCAAGCUGCCCUCUUCCAAUUUUGCUUCCAUCCGGGAAACAGUUGGCCAUCGAGGCCAUCCUUUGGAGUAGCUUAAGGAUUUCAUUGUGAAUGUAGAAAAUAAAGUGGAUUAUUAGAUACAAACUCUCACAACCAGCUAUGAACAGAUGAGCCUUUCCAGUCCCAGAUGGGGCAUUGGACCAGAUGUGGAGACUCUGGCAAAGAGCGCAGGGUCCACUUACACACCGGGGACUCAAUUGUUGUAAGCAUUUAAAAAUUGUUUUUAAUAAGGACUAAUAUAUAGAGAAUAAAGUGCACACGUAUUCAGUGUGUAUCUUGAUGGAUACCUCCCACCCCUCACACAAGUAUCUCGAAACACUCACUCCUGCUGUUAUGGUUUGGAUGUGAGGUGUCCCCUAAAAGCUCACAUGUGAGACAAUUUAAGAAGGUUUGGAGGAGAAAUGAUUGGGUUAUAGCCCUACCCUAAUCAGUGAAUUAGUGAUUAAUGAGUGGUAACUGGAUGCAGGUGGGGUGUGGCUGGAGGAAGUGAUUCAUGGGGGCAUGGCUGUGGGGUAUAUAACUUGUAUCUGGGAGUGGAAACCUCUUUCUCUGCUUUCUGAUCGUCUUGUGAACUGCUUUCCUCUGCCAUACUCUCUCGCCAUGAUGUUCUGCCUCAUCCGGACACGGAGCCCCUGGGGAGUGGAGCUGGCUGUCUAUGGACUGAGACCUCUGAAACCGUGAGCCCUUAAAUCAACUUUUACUCCUCUACAGUUGUUUUGGUCAGGUCUUUAAGUCACAGCCGUGAAAAAGCUGACUAAACCACCUGAUUUUCCCAUGCUGAGAAUCGAACCCAGUGCCUCACACAUGCUAGG